rnacentral:pre_miRNA from 1 species
AAUAAGUGCAGUUUUGCACUAUUCACGUUCAACAUUUGACCGUUCGUCUUAUUUGAAAAUUUUUUAUGAUUAAUAUUUUUAUUGCUAUUAGAUGAUAAAACAUUAAUAGUACUUUAUGUGUGACUAUUUUUUAAAUUUUUUUAAAUAAGACGAACGGUCAAACGUUGGACACAGAUAUUCACGGCUGCACUUAUU